CGGGACAAUGCCCCUAGAUAGCCGCGCCGCAUGUUGCUGUCAGAACUGACAAGGUCUGGCGGCUGUACGGCGAUAGGAGGAGUCGACCGACCCUGAGUCGGUGGCCAGCUGAGUGGCGUCGGACCCCUCCGUUAGUCGGGGAGUCUUACGUGAGUCGGCCAUCAGACCUCUGGGUUCAGUCGGUCGGGGAAGGUGUGCCCGACAUAUCCUCAGUCGGUCGUGAGCCGAUAAUUAGCCG
rnacentral:lncRNA from 1 species